GUGAUCCAUUGAGGUCUCUUUUAGGCGAAAUAGCAUCUGUUGAAUCUGUGUCUGACCUUUAGAAGCUUAUGUAUGUUGCUGUUAAAAACAACGUGCAUUUUUUUAUGAAUUCUUUAUUUGGAUGCAAUCAGAAAGAUGUAUUGCCAUGACUUGGAUAUUCUGUUUAUAAUGCUAAAAGGUGGAUGCUUUUCCAAUGACCAUGAUGUUUGGGAUGUGCUCUGUACUCCAGUAGUUUCCGAUGAAAACUUGCGUCUUUACGGACUUCCAAACGGGUCAUGGGAGGUUGAUCUCCCUGUCGACGAGGUCCCUCCUGAGCUUCCUGAACCAGCUCUUGGCAUCAACUUCGCAAGGGAUGGUAUGGCAGAGGAAAACUGGGUUUCUCUGACUGCAGUUCACUCUGACUCUUGGCUCAUCUCUGCUGCCUUUUACAUUGGUGCACGUUUCUCUUUUGAUAAAAACUAGAGAAUUCAUAUUCAGGCAUAAACUUAUGGAGCAGUUGGGUAUGAAGGUUUUGUUUAUUUCCUGAGUUGUAUCUACACUGGGAGGAUAAAGCCAUUUCCUUUGGAGGUUUCCACUUGUGUUGACUCUGUUUGUGCUCAUGAUUCUUGUUGACCUGUUAUUGAUUUCGUUGUUGAGUUGAUGUAUGCUUCAUCCAUUCUCCAAGUGCCUGAGCUUGUUUCAUCUUUUCAGCGGAGGCUUUGUAACUUUGUGGAGAAGUAAAAGCCAUGAAAAUGUUUGAUCUGAUCAUCUGGUGUAUCUUUAUAAAGACAUAUAAAUCUCUUGUAAUUAUUAUUUAUAAACUUUUAUAAAUUAAU